CAGUAUUCUGGCAGGAUGUUCUAUGACAAUGAGCUGGAGGAGUUGAAGAAGUUCUAUGUGGGGCAGUCAUGCUUCUUGCUGCUCUUCUACGCACUGUACAACACGCUGGUGGCCUGUUCCAAGAUGGUGUGCUACUUUCUCAUCAUUCUCAACCACAUGGUCUCCGUCUCCAUGAUCACCCUUGUGCUGCCCAUCCUUAUCUUCCUUUGAGCCAUACUGUCCAUCCCCCAGUCCAGCAGGUGCUUCUGGAUGAUGGCCAUCAUCUACACGGAGCCUCAUGGACUGUAACCCUCCAGGCUCCUCUGUCCAUGGAAUUCGCCAGGCAAGAAUACUGAAGUGGGUCGCCAGUCCCUUGUCCAGGAGACCUUCCCGACCAAGGGAUCAAAACCACGUCUCUUAUAUCUCCUGCAUUGACAAGUGGCCAUUGUGGUCAAGUAAUUCUUCUAGUUUGGGUUCUUCCCCUGGAACAAGAAUGUGGAACUGAACAAGGACAAGCCUUUCCACCCACUCAACAUCAUUGGGGUGGAGAAGAAGGAUGCCUAUGUGCUCUACGAUCUCAUCCAGGUGCUGGCACUCUUCUCCCACCACUCCAGCCUGAAGGCUCCUCUGUCCAUGGGAUUCUCCAGGCAAGAAUACUGGAGUGGGUUGCCAUGCCCUCCUCCAGGGGAUCUUCCUGACCCAAGGAUCGAAC
ensembl:lncRNA